rnacentral:rRNA from 1 species
CCCGCUGAACUUAAGCAUAUCAAUAAGCGCAGGAAAAGAAACCAACAGGGAUUGCCUCAGUAACGGCGAGUGAAGCGGCAACAGCUCAAAUUUGAAAUCUGGCCUCUCGGGGUCCGAGUUGUAAUUUGUAGAGGAUGUUUUGGGUACCGCCCCGGUUUAAAUUUCUUGGAACAGAAUGUCAAAGAGGGUGAGAAUCCCGUCUUGGACCGGCGGUAGGGCCUGUGUAAAACUCCUUCGACGAGUCGAGUUGUUUGGGAAUGCAGCUCAAAAUGGGUGGUAAAUUUCAUCUAAAGCUAAAUAUUGGCCAGAGACCGAUAGCGCACAAGUAGAGUGAUCGAAAGAUGAAAAGCACUUUGAAAAGAGAGUUAAACAGUAUGUGAAAUUGUUGAAAGGGAAACGCUUGAAGUCAGUCGCGUUGUCUGGGGAUCAACCUUGCUUUUGCUGGGCGUACUUUCCAGAUGACGGGUCAGCAUCAAUUUUGACCGUUGGAUAAAGAUUAGAGGAAUGUGGCAUCUUCGGAUGUGUUAUAGCCUUUGGUUGUAUACAACGGUUGGGAUUGAGGAACUCAGCACGCCGCAAGGCCGGGUACUUGUACCACGUUCGUGCUUAGGAUGCUGGCAUAAUGGCUUUAAUCGACCCGUCUUGAAACACGG